UGCCACUGCUGCCCCCACUCUGGGAGGAGGCCAACGUUUCUCUUCCCGGCGUCAGUGUCGCCCCGGAGAGGGGCUGAUGAGCACGCCAUUGGCUCACGGGUGUGGGUUGGUCCAUCCGGGCCCCUGAGUGUGGGUCGGGGUUGGGAAGGACGGUGCGGCCCCAGUCUGCCUGGGCUGGAAGUGACGCAACCAGAGACCUCGGAGCGUCAUAAAGCCUAGCAGACACUGUGGCUGUGAUCCAAGCUCUGAGCCGAAGGCAGCGGGGAGGGGACUGCUGGGCACUGAGAGCCUCUGCUGGGCCUCCCGUAGCGUGGAUCUCUGAGGCGCUAAGGAAGGAAGCUUUGGGAAAAGAAGCGGGGACCCUCGCCCGCGUGCUGAUUUGCGCAGCCUCGCCACAGAACAGAACGCCUGAGGUUGGCAGUGGUGGCCGUCCUGGGUCCAGCUCCAGCCCCGUGUCCUCCAGGGCCCGGCCGACUCCAGCCACUUCUUCUCACGUCUGAGCCUCUGCCGCUGGGACUCCAAGAGGCCUGCUGCCAGCAGACGCUGCGACGGCACUCCACUGAGGUUCCUGCGUUAGCAGCCGUGAGGUGGUCUCCAAGUUGGAGCCAGGAAUAAAGCUGUGGUGGUGGAAGAAGCCCUCAGCCUGAGCCUCUCAGGUCCGUCAGCGCCUUCUGAGUCGGAGGCUGGGACGAGGAGGAGUCAGCGGGUGUGCUGCGUGCUUCUCCCGGUUCCUCCUGCGCUCCCGGUCUUGAGGAGAGUUGGUUCAGGCAUCUGCAGUCUCCAUGAUGCCCACAACAGCCAGAGCCAGACCAGGGUGAGGCCUAGAUCCUGAAACUCCAUUCCUGUCUCUCUCAUGCACGGAAGAGACUCAGGCAGAGUUACAGAGAGGCAGAGGCAGAGAGAGAGAAGUCUUCCACCCACUGGUUCACUCCUGAAAUGGCUGUGGUGGCCAGAGUUGGGCUGAUCUGAAGCCAGGAGUCAGGAGCUUCUUCCAGGUAUCUCAAGUGGGUACAGGGACCCAGGGUCCUGUGCCAUCUUCUACUGCUUUCCCAGUCCAUAGCAGAGAGCUGGAUUGGAAGUUGAGCAUCCAGGACUGGAACCAUUGCCCAUGUGGGAUACUGGCACUGCAGUCAGCAGCUUUCUCCCUAUACCACAGUGUGGCCCCCCACAAUGUAUUUUUAAUUACUGCUUUAAUCUCUGUCAUUUCCUUUUCUUGCUGAUUUUCUUAUUUAGUGUUUUUUCUAAUUUGUUGAGCUAUAACAUUAGAUAAUUAAGUUGUUUAUUUCAUAUCUUCUUUUUUGUUGUGGUGAUAUUGUACUACAUUUUGCUACAUCCUAUUAGCUUUGUAUGCUGUUUCCUUAUUUUCUUCAAGGUAUUUUUAGCUUCCCUCUUUAGUUUUUCUUUGAUCCUGUAGUUAUUUAGGGUUGUAUAUAGCUUAGUUCCUACAUAUUUGUAUAUUUUCUAAUUCACCUAUUAUUAAUUUCUAUUUUCAGACCACUAGGGUGUGAAAUUAUACUUGAUAUGAUUUUAAUCUUAAACUUGUUGACAUUAUUUUUGUGGCUUAAUGUAUGACCACAUAUAUUCUAUGUGUACUUUGGAUGACUUUUGAUUUUAUUGUAUUGUUCUUGGACAAAAUAUGUUUUUUUUGUUUGUUCUUUUUCUAGAUUUUAUUUAUCCCAAAAGUUACCUUUAGCAAGGUCAGAAGUACUUUGGGAGCUUCCAGUUUUAUCAUGAGGUCUUUGACUCUAAUAAAUCUUGCUUUUAAAUCUCAAAAAAUUAUUUUUUAUUUAUUUAUUUGGGAGGCAGAGCUACAGAAAGGGAGAGACAGAGAGAAAAGUCUUCCAUCUGCUGGUCUGCUCCCCAAAUGGCUGCAAUGGCCGGAGCUGAGACAAUCUGAAGCCCAGAACCAGAAGCUUCUACCAGGUCACCCUCACAGAUUCAGGGGCCCAAGCACUUGGGCCAUCCUCCACUGCUUUCGCAGGCCAUAGCAGAGAAUUGGAUCAGAAGAGGAGCAGCCAGGACUAGAACUGGCACCCACAUGGGAUGCCUGCACCAUAGGCGGAGUCUCAGCUCACACCAUAGCACCAGCCCCCAGAAUGUUUUGUAUAUGUCUGGUAGGACCAUUUGUUCCUAAUGCAUAAUUCAGUCCCAAUGUUUUCUUGUUGAUUUUCAAUCUAGAUGCUCUAUUGUUGAAAAUGGGAUUUGAAAUCCCUGCCUUUAUUGUGUAAUAGUCUGUUUUCCUUUAAAUUUCUUAUAUGUAUUCCUGUGUUUUAGAGACAGAGAGAUAGUCUGAGUUUAGGUGUGUGUAUAAUUUUAUAUCCACUUGAUGAACUGAUACUUUUAUCACUAUACAGUGACCUUUGUCUCUUUGUUACAGCUUUGGCCUAAAGUCUGAUUUAGUUGAUCUGACUUAUAGUUACCUCUGAUUAUUGUUGCUUUUCAUUUACAUUGAUUAUCUCUUUCCAUCCCUUCACUUCCAAUCUAUAAAUGCCCUUUAAAGUAAAUGAGCCUCUUGUAGCCUCUAUAUAGUCAUAUCUAUCUUUUUUAUGUUCUCCAUCCAUUGUUUGCCUUUUAUUUAGAGAAUUCAUUUACAUUCAAAAUAAUUAUUAAGAGGUGAGGAUUUAUUACUAUUUUAUUAAUACUGUUGUUUUAUAAAUUCAUCUUUUUUUCAUCUCUAACCAAUAUCCUUUGUGACUUGAUGAUUUUCUAUAGUGACAUACUUUGAAUCUUUUAAAAAAAUCUUUUUGUUAUCUUUAUUUCAAAAAGUUAAUGAAAUUAGAAUUAAAAUAUAAGUUUAUUUUGGUGAAAAAUAUUUUGAAAUUACACAUUUUCCUAAACUUUUAAGAGAUCCCUCAUGAUAUAGUUGUUUGCCUAGUGGUUUCCUAAUUCUUCUAUUAAAAAACAAAACAAAACAAAACAAAACAACUCUAGGUUGAGAGCCUUAAUUCUGAUAUCAUUCAAAGACUAUCCUUUUACUCCCCCUCCUCCUACAUUUUAUGUUGGAAUGUCACAUUUUCACCUUAUACUUUGUAUCAUUUAGGAAAUGUUGCAGCUAUAGUUAUUUUUCAUUUAUUUAUUUAUUUUAUUUAAGAAGUAGAGAUACAGAUGG